rnacentral:rRNA from 1 species
AUUGAACGCUGGCGGCAGGCCUAACACAUGCAAGUCGAGCGGAUGAAGGGAGCUUGCUCCUGGAUUCAGCGGCGGACGGGUGAGUAAUGCCUAGGAAUCUGCCUGGUAGUGGGGGAUAACGUCCGGAAACGGGCGCUAAUACCGCAUACGUCCUGAGGGAGAAAGUGGGGGAUCUUCGGACCUCACGCUAUCAGAUGAGCCUAGGUCGGAUUAGCUAGUUGGUGGGGUAAAGGCCUACCAAGGCGACGAUCCGUAACCGUUCUGAGAGGAUGAUCAGUCACACUGGAACGGAGACACGGUCCAGACUCCUACGGGAGGCAGCAGUGGGGAAUAUUGGACAAUGGGCGAAAGCCUGAUCCAGCCAUGCCGCGUGUGUGAAGAAGGUCUUCGGAUUGUAAAGCACUUUAAGUUGGGAGGAAGGGCAGUAAGUUAAUACCUUGCUGUUUUGACGUUACCAACAGAAUAAGCACCGGCUAACUUCGU